rnacentral:lncRNA from 1 species
CUCAAACAAAAUACACAACGUACAAAAGAUUUAUGACCCCGGGAUAAAGUGGGGCUCACCAAGUCAGCUGGGAAGAAGGUGUACUGCUAUCACUGAUCAAUAUCCCCUACUGUGGCACCACCUGCAUCCAUUUAAAGAUGCAGCGCCCCCGGUAAAAGGGACGUUAGUAUAAUCAAAUAGCACUAGUAUGUAUAACUAAACACCCUCUCAAUAGAAUGACAAAUAAUACAAACAAGAUUAUCAUAAUAUCAAUGAAAGCCUUAAUCAACAUCAAACCUCAAUUUAGGAUCAAGACACUGUUCAAAUUAAUUUCCAUAUCUCAUAUUGGGAGAUUUUUAUUAUCGAUAUACCAUUGUCCAUAAUACCAUUAUUCACAAUACCAGUACCACUGUAUUCUCAGUAUGGAGACCGAUCACGACUCGAUCGACUAAGCUAUCUCAUUAGAGACAUCAACCAGAAUUACUCUCAAUAUCAAUACCACCAUCUUUAACACGGAGUCCGAUCAUGACCCGAUCGGCUAGGCUAUCCAUUAGGGACAUCGACCACAAUCACAACUUAAAUUACAAUUUCCAGCACAAUUCAUAAGUGGGGAUUUUAACCUAUUAUUUGCUCUCUUUUACUUGUGUUUUAAGCCAAAAAUUCUUGAAGGUAUUCCCGAAAACUAAUAAAAUAUGAUUGCUUGCAGAAAUUAUUCAAAAUGAGCUAAAGGAAUCAAAAUCAACUCGCAAAAGAGUCAAAAUUUGAACAAAAACCAAGGCUGGGCAAAGAGGUCUGAAGCGCGGACCGCACAAAUAUUGUGCGGCCGCGAAAGCCAUGAUGCCGUCGCGAUCAAAAUUACGCGUUCCGUGAGAGGGAGAUCCAGAGAGUGAUUUUUGGGCUAAAUGAUGAGCGCGGACCGCACUAGAAAUAUACAGCCGCGAAAGUCCCUGUGCGGCCGCGAUUGAAAUUACAUGGACCGCGAUGACUGAGAUUUAGAGAGCCGACAACUUGAGCAAAAGUGAGAAGUGCGGACCGCACCAGAAUUGUGCGGCCACGAAAUUCCUUGUGCGGCCGCAAUCGAAAUUAUAUGGUCCGUGAAAUGAAGAACAAGAGAUAGAUCCAAAAGAGAAGAAUGCGGAUCGCAUCAGAAAUAUACGACCGCAAAAGCAAGAGUGCGGCCGCACUUAGAAAUAUGCGGCCGCACAACCUCCGCAGGGGCAUUCUUGUCCGAUAUUUUAAGCUCAGUAUAAAUAGAACUUUUUGUCAUUUUUAGGGGAUAGCAGGUUAUGUAAUGUUUUGUAUAUGGCUGACUUUUCGGUUUUCAAAUUUUUUGUAAUAGAUUCACUUUUUAACAUUAGAUUUUCAUUUCAUAAAUUAAUAUUAUGGAUUUUAUCUUCAUUUCAUCUUUAAUUUCUGUUAUUUCCAUGAGUAGCUAAACCCAUAGCUAGGGUUGUAACCCAACCCUAGUGUGGGUAUUUAAUGGGUGUUUGAUUUUAGGGCUUGAAUGUGAAUGAGUUAGUGAUAUUUAGCCUAGUUCUUGCUAUAACUCAAGAAUUAAUGGUUGCAAACAUUGAUUCAUGCUUUUAUGACUUAGUCUCUACUUGAGAAAGAGGGACUAAGUCUAGGAAAACUAGGCUAACAAGGAAUUGGGGUGAACUCAAAAAAUUGAUAACCCCAAUUAAAGGGUUAAACCUAGAGAUAGUAAUACCCAAUUUGAGCCAAUAUCAUUUGAUUUGCAUGAAUUCCCAUUUAGACUUGAGAAAGGUAAAUUUGGUAAAAUUACUCAAACUACCGAGAGGUAUAGAGUGAGUACCCGGGUGUAAUAGCUAUAAUAAAAUCGCAAUUAAUCAAGCUUGCUCUAGAUUUUGCUACCCGUUAUAUAUCCACCUAGGUAGAAGUCACUACCCUUAUCUCUUUAAACAUUUGAAAAACAACAACAAAAAUAUUGUCCUUAGUUUCAAUUAUUGCAAUCUUUAGAGUAAAGUUAAAAAUAGAAAAACUAAUCAAGUUUGUGGAAGUGCAAUUAAAGCCAAAACUUGCAAAUAACUUAGAUAUACACCUAAUCCCAUAUUCUAACUCUCUGUGGAUUCGAUCCCGGCCUGUAUUGGGUUUAUUAUUGCAUCGAUCUCCUCGCUACUCAAUUAUGGUGUAGUUUUGGAAUAGAUCAAUUUUUGGCGCCGUUGUCGGGGAGUUAAAUGGAUUUAGCUAUAUAUCUAGGUAUUUGUAUGUUUUGUCUUCCUUUCCUUCCGAGUCACUAAUUUUGUUUGUGAAUUGCUUUUAGGUACAAAAUGGCCCUUAACAAUGAGCCCCCCCAAAAAUUUACCAUUGGGGGAGGAGGUAGAUGACGAUCAAGUGGAUGAGGUUCAUCCCGAGCCUUAAGUAAACAGGCGAGGCCGACCACCUCCACAAAGGGCAACGCACCAGGUGUUGCCGAAUGAGGGCUAUGCAAGUGCAAUAGUCCCGCCCCGGAUUAGGGCGGGCAACUUCCAAAUUACCAACGUGAUGCUUACACUGCUUGAGCAGUGGGGCUUUUUCACUGGAGCUCCACACCAAAAUGCCUACAAGCACCUCAAGGGGUUCGUUGAUACUUGUUGGGGGAGCAAGCAACCAAAUGUCACAGAGGAUGCACUGCGGUUAAGGCUAUUUCCCUUUUCUCUAUGGGGAAAGGAUUUGGACUGGUCAGAGAGAUUGCCCAAUCAUUCUAUCCAUACUUGGGAUGAGUUGUCCGAGAAGUUCAAUGCCAAAUUCUUCUCUCCGUGGCACAUGGCUAUACUAAGGGAUGAAAUUUUAGCUUUCAAACAAGAACCCAAUGAGCCAUUGCACGAGAUUUGGGAAAGAUAUCGCGCCAUGAUCAAAGAAUGCCCGAACAAUGAUAUGACCGAGGCCAUGAUCUAAUAGACCUUCUACAGGGGGAUCAACACAACAAAUCAGUGUAUGGUAAAUCAACUUGCUGGGGGUAACUUCAUGAACACGCCUUAUUCUGAAGCUUGUGAAAUCUUGGAUGAGAUGGCAGACACCUCUUCGGCAUGGCAAAGUAGAGCCAAUGUUCCUCAGGGUGACCCAAAUGUUAUUCACCUACACAAGGAGUUACAUGAUCAUGGCCAAUCUAUUGCGGAGUUGACAACCACCAUGAACCAAUUGGCCAAGUCUCAGCUUCAACAGGUUCAAGGGUCGAAACAGGUGAAUGCUAUGGAAGGGAUGAACAUAAUGGUAAACAAGAGACGACAACGAGGUCAACAAGUACAAAACCAUCCGGAACAAUUUGAGCAAAAUAAUAGUGGGUAUAAUCAAGAUGAUUCAUAUGAUGAGAAAGAUGAAGAGGUUCAAUAUGUCAACAAUUAUCAAGGUCAAAGAAGCAAUGCUCCAAAUCAACAACAAUGGAGAUCACAAGGAAACCAAGGAAACUGGAACAACCAAGGCCACCAAGGAAAUUGGAGUGGUGGCAACAACAAUAAUCAAAGCAAUUGGGGUAAUCAAGGAAAUUCGGGAGGAAAUAAUCAAGAUAAUUGGGGUGGCAACAAUCAAGCAAUUGGGGGAACAACAAUAAUCAAGGGAGUUGGAAUAAUAGCAAUCAAGGAAAUCAGGGGUCAGGUUUUCAGAGGUCCCCGAUGUAUCAACAACCAAACAACCCACCUCCAUAUCCGUCACAAGGUCCUAGUUCUUCCAAUAAUGAAAUGGGACGGAUUAAAAACAUGUUUAAGCAAAUGAUGGAGAAAAACACAGACUCCGAUGCCCAAUUAGCCUCCUACAACACUUCUAUCCGCAACUUGGAGGGUCAACUUGGCCAAAUUUCUCAAGAUUUAAAUACUCACCAAAAGGGGGCACUACCUAGUGAUACGGUGGUGAACCCAAAAGGUAGAAAUACGGGGCAUGCAAUGGUCGUGACAACAAGAAGUGGGAAAGGUGGAGUUGCUAGCACCUCAAACCAAAGAAGACAUGUGGGUGAUGAUGUGUUUGUACAAGAUGAUGAUGAGCCAAGCCAUGAUGUUCAAGCUAAUUAAGAAGCGAGGAUUGAUAUUGAUGAAAAUGUGGAGGAGAUGCAAGAAGAAGUGAAAUCGUCUAGGGAGCACGUGACUGACCUACCGGAAUCGGUAGUGCCAAAGGCUAAGGUACCAAUGCCAAGGCCUCCUCUUGCAUACCCUCAAAGACUUGCAAAGAAAAAUAAUGAGAAUCAAUUCAAGAAAUUCAUUGAUAUUAUGAAAAAUUUUUCCAUAAAUGUGUCGUUGGUUGAAGCCUUAGAACAAAUGUCGGGAUAUGCCAAGUUCAUGAAGGAUUUGGUAACAAAGAAGACAUCAAUGAACUGUGAAAUGAUCAAAAUAACACAUCAAGUGAGUGCUAUGGGUGCACUCCAUGGCUCCAAAGUUGGAAGACCCCGUGCUAUCACAAUCCCGUGCACUAUUGGAAGUGUCAAUUUCGCCAAAGCUCUAUGUGAUUUGGGGGCAAGCAUUAACUUGAUGCCCUAUUCUGUGUUCAAAACGUUGGGGAUUGUGCAACCAAGACCCACAUCCAUGAGGUUGCAAAUGGCGGAUCGUACAAUGAAAAGGACAAUGGGAAUAAUUGAUGGCGUGUUAGUUAGGGUCGACAAGUUCAUCCUUCUCGCAUAUUUUGUGAUACUUGACUGUGAGGUUGCCUACGAGGUGCCAAUCAUUAUGGGGAGACCUUUCCUUGCUACAGGGAAGGCCUUUAUUGAUAUGGAAGCUGGAGAGAUCACCUUCUGGGUGGGCGAUGAAAAAGUGGUGUUCCAUGUUUGUAAAUCAAUGAGGCAGCCAAAUAGCAACGAAGUGUGUUCGUUCAUGGACCUUGUGACCGAAGUAAUUGUUGAUGACACAAGUGCUGUGAUAAAUGUGGAAGAUACCUUGGAAAUUGUGUUGUUGAAUCAUGAUGAGGAUGAGAAGGAAGGCUUUGUAAAAUAUGUCAAUGCUUUGCAAGGAAUGGGAUCAUAUACUCAUAAGCCCAGAAAACAUUCCUUGGAUCUCGAAAACCGGAAAACUCCACCAACAAAGCCCUCAAUCGAGGAACCUCCCACCUUGGAGCUAAAGCCUUUGCCUUCACACCUCAGGUAUAAGUUUCUAAGCCCUUGUUCCAUUUUACUUAUUAUUCUUUCCUCGUGCAUAACUAACGUGCAGGUAGAUGCCACCCUUGCGUUGCUUCAAAGUAGGAAGAAAGUAAUAGGUUGGACAUUGGCAGAUAUUCAGGGUAUAAGCCCCGCCUUUUGCAUGCACAAAAUCAUUUUGGAGGAGGAUGACAAACCCUCCGUGGAACAUCAAAGACGAUUGAAUGAGGCCAUGCAAGAUGUAGUAAAGAAAGAGAUCAUCAAGUGGUUGGAUGCCGGGGUGGUUUACCCCAUUCCUGAUAGUUCGUGGACCUCACCAGUGCAAUGUGUCCCAAAGAAAGGGGGCAUGACUGUGAUCACAAAUGACAAAAAUUAAUUUAUACCCAUAAGAACUGUCACCGGGUGGAGAGUGUGCAUGGAUUAUAGAAAGCUCAACAAAGUUAUGCGGAAAGACCAUUUUCCGCUUCCAUUUCCUGAUCAAAUAUUAGAUAGGUUAGCCGGACGUGCGUAUUAUUGCUUCUUGGAUGGAUAUUCCGGAUAUAACCAGAUUCUAAUUGCACCUGAAGACCAAGAAAAGACCACCUUCACUUGUUCAUAUGGCACUUUUACAUUCUCGCGGAUGCCAUUCGGGUUAUGCAAUGCACCGGCAACUUUUUAGCGGUGUAUGAUAUCUAUCUUCACCGAUAUGGUGGAGGACUUUCUCGAGGUUUUCAUGGAUGAUUUCUCUAUCGUGGGGAAUUAUUUUGAAGAGUGCUUAGAUAACUUGGAUAAGGUAUUGGCACGCUGUGAAGAAACUAACUUCGUGCUGAAUUGGGAGAAGUGUCACUUUAUGGUCAACGAGGGCAUUGUCCUCGGUCACAUGAUUUCCAAGAAUGGUAUUGAGGUUGAUAAAGCAAAAAUUGAAAUGAUAUCCAAACUCCCUCCCCUUACUUCCGUAAAGGGAGUGAGAAGCUUUCUAGGUCAUGCGGGGUUUUACCGCCGAUUCAUCAAGGACUUUUCUAAGGUUGUAAACCCCUUGUGCAAACUAUUAGAGAAAGAUGCCAAGUUCCUUUUCAAUGAAGAUUGUAUGAAGGCAUUUGAACUACUAAAGUAUAAGUUGACUACCACUCCUAUUAUCACCGCGCCAAAUUGGAGCUUACCAUUUGAGUUCAUGUGCGAUGCAAGCGAUGUGGCGGUUGGUGCGGUAUUGGCCAACGAAUUAAUAAAAUCUUUCAUCCGAUCUACUAUGCUAGCAAGACCAUGAACGAGGCCCAAGUCAACUAUACGGUGACCAAGAAAGAACUCCUAGCCAUUGUCUUCUCUAUGGAGAAGUUCUGCCCAUACCUAAUGGGUACAAAGGUGAUUGUUCACACCGACCAUGCGGCACUUGGUUAUUUGAUGAGCAAGAAAGACUCUAAGGCAAGUUUGAUGCGGUGGGUGCUUCUAUUGUAGGAGUUUGAUCUAGAGAUUAAAGACCGAAAGGGUAGUGAAAAUCAAGUGGAGGACCACUUGUCCCGAUUGGAGGAGGAGGGGAGGCCACAUGAUGGCCUUGAGAUCAAUGAUUCAUUUCUUGAUGAACAACUUCUUUCCAUUUCUAUGAUUGGGAUGCCACGGUUUGCUGAUGUGGCCAACUAACUAUCUAGUGAGUGGCAUUGUUCCGAAUGAGUUCUCCUCAAACCAAAGGAAGAAGCUCAAACGGGACUGCCUGGACUACUAUUGGGAUGAGCCAUAUCUCUUCAAAAUUUGCACUGAUGGUGUUAUCCGGAGAUGUGUUCCAGAAGAAGAGCAAUUGGGUAUUCUUGAAGCUUGCCUUUCUUCGCCCUAUGGUGGUCACCAUUGUGGAGCGAGAACUGCUACAAAGGUCCUAAGCUGUGGAUUCUAUUGGCCUACCUUGUACAAAGAUGCUAGCGAGCUCGUUAAGCAUUGUGAUAAAUGUCAAAGGGCCGAUGGGAUCUCCAAGAAAAAUGAGAUACCUCUCACCACCAUCCUGGAGAUUGAUAUNNNNNNNNNNNNNNNNNNNNNNNNNNNNNNNNNNNNNNNNNNGAUAGUUAUGGAUUACGUUUCCAAAUGGGUUGAAACCGUGGCUUUGCCCAACAAUGAAGCUCGGAGUGUGUUAGAUUUCUCGAAGAAGAACAUAUUUACAAGGUUUGGUACUCCAAGGGCCAUCAUUAGUGAUGGUGGUUCACAUUUUUGCAACAAAGCCUUUGACACUUUACUCUCCAAGUACGAUGUCACUUACAAGGUGUCAACCCCCUAUCACCCCCAGGCAAGUGGACAGGUUGAAGUCUCCAACAGGGAGAUCAAGAGUAUUCUAUCCAAGACUGUCAAUGCAAAUCAGACUGAUUGGUCAAGGAAACUUGACGAUGCGCUUUGGGCCUAUAGAACAACUUACAAGACUCCAAUUGGUAUGUCUCCGUAUCGGUUGGUGUUUGGGAAAGCAUGUCACCUUCCGGUGGAAUUAGAGCAUAAGGCCAUGUGGGCGUUGAAGAAAUUGAACCUUGAAUGGGAUGUAGCUGCCAAUCUUCAGGUGGAGCAAUUAAUGAACUUGAUGAAUUCCGGUUCCAUGCUUACUCCAGUUCGUCCUUGUAUAAGGACAAGAUCAAGUACCUACAUGAUAAGUAUAUCCGGAACAAAGAAUUCAAAGAAGGUGACCUUGUUCUUUUAUUCAACUCUCGGUUACGGAUGUUUCUCGGAAAGCUUAAAUCAAAGUGGAGUGGUCCUUUUGAAGUGGUACAUGUGACUCCUUUUGGUGCUGUUGAUUUGAAAAAUAAGAAUGGUGAGAUUUUUAGAGUCAAUGGGCACCGGGUGAAGCACUACCUUGGUAAGGUUGAUAAUGGCCACGUUGUGGCAUUGCUCCAUUUCAAAUGAAUGAUGGUAACAUGUGUCGUGCCACGACAUUAAAUGGGGCGCUUCUUGGGAGGCUACACAUGUAUUUUUCUUUCUUUUGAUUUUCUUGUUAGAUUAGGCAUUAUUUUGGACUAACUAGUUGCAAAGCGUAUGCAAGAAUUAGGUGUGCAGUGCAGAAAAUGGACAAGAAAAAAAAUUGGCCAAGUAGUAAAAUUGUGCAGACCGCGCCAGAAUUAUGCAGCCGCACAAGCCCUUCGCGGCUGCACAAUUCUGUGUGCGGUCACACAGCUGAAAGAUGGAAAAUGCCAACUCUCUGAAGUUUGGCCUGACAAAAUCCCUUAAAGAUUCGCGGCGGCGAUCAAAAUUUUUGCGGACCGCACAGAUUAUGCGGCCGCAGCCAUUUUUAUGCGGACCGCAUCACAAAAUCAGCUGUCGAGUUAGAAAAGGUAAAGAGUGCGGACCGCGCCAAAAUUGUGCGGCCGCACUUAGGUAAGUCGGUGUGGCCAAAGUAUAAAUAGGAGUUUUCGAGAUUAUUCAUACUUUACACUCUCUGACCUCCCAAGCACAGUGCACUCUUUCUUGUUUUCAAUCUCAUCCCAUACUCAUCAAUUGUUAAUUUCCUACUACAUUUCAUUACUGGUAUGUUAAUUUCAAUGAAUUAAUUUCAUCUUUUUCUUUUCUUUCCUCCUUGUUGUAGUUUUCUUUUUAUCUAGGAUUAAAUUUAUGCCAAAAAUGUCAAAUUGAUGCUUAAUUCUUGUUUAGAAGCAUGUGGGUAGUGUUUGAAUACAUAAUGGGGUCUGGGGUUAGUAGCCUUUAUUGUUCAAUUGCCACAAAUCUUGCCUAAUUAGUUAAAACCCUAGUAUUAAUCAUACCUCAGUGCCGCUCUGAUUUGAAUUUCGCGGCCGCACAUAUUUUUAUGCGGUGCGCGCUAGGGUAUGCGGCCGCAUACAAAAUUGUGCGGUCCGCGAUACCCUAGGUUGAAGGCACUUGUCAUUGCUAAAUUUGUGCGGCCACACUCAAUUUUGUGCGGUCCGCGUUUGGUUUUUGUGGCCGCACUCAAUUUUGUGCGGUCUGCACAAUUAAACUUCAGAGACCCAACAAAUCGAUUAUGCAGCCGCACUCAAUUUUGUGCGGUCCGCGAUGGGUUUUCGCGGCCGCACUCAAAUGUAUGCGGUCCGCGCUAAGGUAACUUCAGAGAACCAAUAGUCUGAACCUGGGAUUUCCGUGACCGCACUCAAUUUUGUGCGGUCCGCGAUGGGUUUUCGCGGCCACAAUCAUUUUUGUGCAGUCCGCGAUGGGCAGUCCGCGGCCGCACUCAAUUUUGUGCGGUCCGCACUGCCCUGUUCUGAGAAUUAGUGUCUUUCUUUCCAACUAUAAUUCAAUAACACAUGUUGAACCCCAAUUUUAACUGACUUUCACUACUUGAUUGUUGCAGACAAUGGUGUGUUCACGUGGUCGAGGUGAUGCUUCCAAAGGGAGGGCAGAAUCCUCACGAGGUCGGAGUAGCAGAAAGCCUAACAUACCACUAUCAGUCCAGAAAGUCUUGGGCAAAAAGACUAUUAUUGGUAGACCACCUCCGAAAUCCUCAGACACCAGUGAAUACCUCCCAUCCCGGAAAACGUCUGAGGGGGAUUCUGUACAACCACAACCGGGGGCACAAUCACAACAAUUCCCCGAUAGACUCCGUUUAGUCGAUGAACCUACCUCCUCCUCUAGUUCUUCUGAUGGCUCAGAGGGAGGUAGUCAGGCAUCUGGACCACCUGCCACAACAGCUAUAAUACCCGCCACAACAGCUACCCCAAUUAAUUUAGAUGAUGAUGAUGAGGUCCCGGAUGACGGGAGAGGGGGUGACACAAUGAUGGGAGGCUUGGCUAGAUCAAAGAGGUCGGAGGUGUGGGCUGAUAGAUUUGUAAGUAAGAAGGCGUAUGGAAAAUUUCAGGAAUGGUGGCCCCAAAGGUCGCUCACUCUUGAGCGAUAAUUCAUAACCAAAGACCUAAGCCAGAACAAGCCGAAUGUCCUACGGUAAUUUACGGAGAGAAAAAGAUGGAAAUGGUUCACCUGCCGGAUGCAUGAUGCAAAUGAAUACCUUGUCAAGGAAUUUUAUGCCAAUGUUGCCCACAUCAAAAAGGGUACAAAGGUGACGAAGGUCCGAAACUUGAAAAUCCGGUUUGAUGGCCACGCACUGAACACAUAUGUAGGGUUUGAAGAUGUUGAGGCAGUGCAAUACCUGGAGAAGCUAGCCUUGGUUGAUGCAAUUCGCCCAUGGCUUGCUGAGAUAAUUGCUAUUCCAGGGACAACACCUGCAUGGCUCACAACAGGAGUUCAAAUUGUCAGAGUCACCCUUAACUCUGAAGCAAAAGGGUGGGAAACAUUCGUGUGCAGCCGUUUUGACCCGUGCCAACAUGAGAAUGUCCUUCCACUCCCCCGGGCAGUAUUGGUAGCUUCCAUCAUGGCCGGCUAUCCUAUUAAUGUGGGAAACUUGAUGUCCUACAACAUCUCCAAUGCAGUCCAGAAAGAAGAGAGAUCGUAUCCCUACCCCAACUUCCUCACAGAGUAUUUCCAAGACCAGGGGGUAGAGCCGAGACAUUUUGAUGUAAAGGUGAAGGCUAAAAAGCCUUUCUCAUGGUACCACCUCCAGGGAGCGGACAACCCUAAAUUUAGGGGUAAACCCACUACCUCCACUAGCCAGUCUAAAGAGCCAGGGGUAGUGGUCAUUGGGUCAGUUGCCGAGCCCUCCACAGCAGCCGGUACUUCUGCCGUAGCAGUAGCCAUGCCUCCUCCUUCCUCCGGACCUUCCCUCUCAGUGCCAUUGUCAGUGCCCAUAUCUUCUACAUACCCUCAGACUGCACUGUGGGUUUCAUAGACACUAUCCAGUCUCAACAACUGGAUGCAGGCAGCUACCACAAAGCUGACUGCCAUAUCCAAUGCAUUGGCAACACAGUCUUCAGCCUCAUUAGAGCUUCAGGUACCUCCAUCAGUGAAUGACUCUUUGAAGAAGAUUCUGGACAACCAGUUUAAGAUUCUGGACGACCAGAAGAAGAUCUGGGAGACUCUUGACACACAUGGGAGGAUUAUCAAGGAUUUGGGGAAGCAGGUGAAGAAGAUGCGUAAGACUUAGGCAUCUAAGGAGUCGAUGGAGAAGUUGAGCAAAGAGGUUGAGAAGAUUGCUUCUACUGGUGAUAUCCCACUAGACUUGCUCAUAGAGGAGACAGUCCCAGCAGUACAUGCAGCAGUGCCCGAGGCAUCAGAUGCAGCAGCCAGCCAGUAUGAGGAGCCGGCUACCACUGCACAUACUGUUGCAGAGCUGAUUCAUAUGCUCAGCAACCCCGUAAUCCCCCAAUCAGAGGAUGUGGAGAUCCAGUUACAGGAUACGAAUGGUGCUAAUGACUCGAUGCAGACAGAGACCACAUAGGGAGUUUUCCCUACUCUUUAUCUCCUUUUUCCUGUUCUUAUUUGUUAUAAGCAUUGAGGACAAUGCUAUUUUUCGGUUGGGGGUGGUCCAUUUUGAUUUGAUGACAUUUGGUAUGUAAUAACCAUUAUACUAUUUUUCUUUGUCUUUAUUGUUAUCGUUAUUGAUCUUUAUUUUCACUUUUGGUAUGUAUAUAUUCUCACCAUUCAACGUAUAUAUUCAUUCCCAUUAUGUAUAUAUUCGCUUUACUUCAUUUUGCACAUAUUCAGUCUACUUUCCGUAGUUUACUUCAUAACUACUUUCGUUAUUUUUCCUUAGUAGCAUAGCUUCUUAUUUACUUUAGUAGCUUCUUUUUAAGUUGUUAGCUUCUUUUUACUUUUUGUGUGAACUAUAAGCCUUUGGUUUACUUAAUGCCAUGGUUCUUUCCAAAGGUGGAUGUGUGUGAACCGGGUGGCUCUUCCCAUGACAACCUUCUUAAGGGAUUGAGUCCAUUUUCUUUAUGUUUUUUGUAUAUAUAGUAGUAAUGAAUAAAAGUGUCUCAAGAAGGCUUCACUUGGUACUAAUACAUUUACCUUCGACCUUAUGGUUAGAAACAAGUUGAUUGGCAAAGAAUAGCUCUAGCUGUGACCUUUAUACUCUUGUGUUGGCUAAAACAAUCAUUGAGUGAUUUCUUUGAGCCAUUUGUGAUUUUCAAUCUUAGCUAGGGUUGUUGUGGGCCCUCGACUAUGUUCUCUUUAACAAUCCAGCAGCUUGAGAGGUGAGGUAUUGAAUUGCAAGUCCAAGUUCUGUGUCAAUAAGUCUAGAACUUGCCCUGAAUGUUUGUCUAGCAAAAUUCUAAGUGUAGCUCGACUUGAGAAAUGAUUGUAGGCUCUCCUUAAUCCAAUUUGAAACUUGAAAGCUUCUGUAGCCUACUAAUGUGAUAUCCCUAGUCAACCCCUUUGAGCAGAAGCCCUUUUUCAUUCAAUAGCCAUGUUACAAACCUUUAUCCAUUUUAUAAUGACCUCUCUUCGCACCCGAUCUUUCCUUAGCAUUCUUGAUACAAUUGGCAAAAGCAUAAGUUUGGGAGAGAGAUGAGGAAUGUGAAAGUGAUAAAAGGUACAAAGAACAAAAAAGAGUGACAUGGAAAAGGAAGAAAAGCCAAAAAGAAAUAUUCCAAAAAAGAAAGUGAAUAAAGUAGAAAGUCGAAGGGAUUCAAAGAAAGCAAGGAUGAAAAGCAUAGAGUGCUUAGAAAAGGAGAAAAAUGAUUAUCAUGAGCAAGAAAGAGUGACAUUACAUCUCUCUAGUUCCACUAAGGAAGAAGAAAAUGACUCCAAGAGUCAAGAAAGUAUGAGCCAAAAAAAGAGGAAAUGGAGUGCUUAAGGAAAGAUGAAACCAUCAUAUGCCAAUAAGUCCUACCAUGAUCCAAAAGCCUUCAUUACGUUCUCGCAAAAACCCUAUAUGAUUUCAAGUUGAGUGAGCUUAUAUUAGUGGUGAUUUACAUAAGGGUCAGGCUUAUGGUACUUAGAGCACGACUUGUGACAUUCUUUUGAGAGAGAUGAGCGCACUUCUUCACAAUCUUUGUUUUGAGGGUUACAUUCUAAAGUGAGAUUUGCUCAUGGAGAGUAGAGGAGGAGGAGUUUAGGUUCCACAAUGACCUAUGUGAUAGAGCGAGCUUCCUUGAUGAAUUAAGUCAACUCUUGAUACUCUAGUGUCACAGUAGAACUAUGGUUCUCAAAAGGUCAAAAACAUGGUGUUGUUGAUAAUUCAUUUGUGUUGAGGGUAAUUGUUAGUCCCAAUUGAUGCAUGAUUGGUUUACCUUAGGCCAGCUGAAAUAUCAUUUUUUCUAGUGGAGGUGGAAAGUACCUUAUUUGCUUGAGGAUAAGCAAAAGCUUAAGCUUGGGGGAGUUGAUAAGUGGGGAUUUUAACCUAUUAUUUGCUCUCUUUUACUUGUGUUUUAGGCCAAAAAUAAUUGAAGGUAUUCCCGAAAACUAAUGAAAUAUGCUUGCUUGCAGGAAUUAUUCAAAUUGAGCCAAAGGAAUCAAAAUCAACUCACAAAGGAGUCAAAAGUUGAACAAAAACCAAGGUUGGGCAAAGAGGUUUGAAGCGCGGACCGCACAAAUAUUGUGCGGCUGCGAAAGCCAUGAUGCGGCCGCAAUCAAUAUUACGUUGUCCGCGAGAGGGAGAUCCAAAGAGUGAUUUUUGGGCUAAAUGAUGAGUGCGGACCGCACCAGAAAUAUACGGCCGCGAAAGUCCCUGUGCUGCCGCGAUUGAAAUUACACGGACCGCGAUGACUGAGAUUCAAAGAGCUGACAACUUGAGCAAAAGAGAGAAGUGCAGACCGCACCAGAAUUGUGCGGCUGCGGAAUUCCUUGUGUGACCGCGAUCGAAAUUAUGCGGUCCGUGAAAUGAAGAACCAAAGACAGAUCCAAAAGAGAAGAACGCGGACCGCAUCAGAACUAUGCGGCCGAGAAAGCAAGAGUGUCGUCGCCCUCAGAAUUACGCGGCCGCACAACCUCCGCAGGGGCAUUCUUGUUCGAUAUUUUUAGCUCAAUAUAAAUAGAACUUUUGUCAUUUUUAGGGGAUAGAAGGUUAUGUGAUGUUAUGUAUACAGCUGACUUUUCGGUUUUUAGAGUUUUUGUACUAGAUUCACUUUUUAACAUUAGAUUUUCAUUCCAUAAAUUAAUAUUAUGGAUUUUAUUUUCAUUUAAUCUUUAAUUUAUGUUAUUUCCAUGAAUAGCUAAACCCAUAGCUAGGGUUGUGACCCAACCCUAGUGUGGGUAUUUAAUGAGUGUUUGAUUUUAGGGCUUGAAUGUGAAUGGGUUGGUAAUUUUUAGCCUAGUUCUUGCUAUAACUCAAGAAUUAAUGGUUGCAAACAUUGAUUCAUGCCUUUAUGACUUAGUCUCUACUUGAGAAAGAGGGACUAAGUCUAGGAAAACUAGGCUAACAAGGAAUUGGGGUGAACUCAAGAAAUUGAUAGCCCCAAUAAAAGGGUUAAACCUAGAGAUAGUAAUACCCAACUUGAGUCAAUAUCAUUUGAUUUGCAUGAAUACCCAUUUAGACUUGAGAAAGCUAAAUUGGGUAAAAUCACCUCAAACUACCGAGAGGUAUAGAGUGAGUACCUGGGUGUGAUAGCUAUAUUACUAUCCCAACUAAUCAAGUUUUUCCUAGAUUUUGCUACCCGUUAAAUAUCCAUCUAGGUAGAAGUCACUACCCUAUUCUCUUUAAACAUUUGAAAAACAACAAUAAAAAUAUUGUCCUUAGUUUCAAUUAUUGCAAUCUUAAGAGUAAAGUUAAAAAUAGAAAAAUCAAUCAAGUUUGUGGAAGUGCAAUUAAAGCCAAAACUUGCAAGUAACAUAGAUAUACACCUAACCCCAUAUUCUAACUCUCUGUGGAUUUGAUCCCGACCUUUGUUGGGUUUAUUAUUGCAUCGACCGCCUAGCUACUCAAUUGUGGUAUAGGUUUGGAACAGAUCAACAAUCACCACCAUAUGUACGGCAUGGUGACUGAUCACGAUCCGAUCGGCUAGGCUGUNNNNNNNNNNNNNNNNNNNNNNNNNNNNNNNNNNNNNNNNNNNNNNNNNNNNNNNNNNNNNNNNNNNNNNNNNNNNNNNNNNNNNNNNNNNNNNNNNNNNNNNNNNNNNNNNNNNNNNNNNNNNNNNNNNNNNNNNNNNNNNNNNNNNNNNNNNNNNNNNNNNNNNNNNNNNNNNNNNNNNNNNNNNNNNNNNNNNNNNNNNNNNNNNNNNNNNNNNNNNNNNNNNNNNNNNNNNNNNNNNNNNNNNNNNNNNNNNNNNNNNNNNNNNNNNNNNNNNNNNNNNNNNNNNNNNNNNNNNNNNNNNNNNNNNNNNNNNNNNNNNNNNNNNNNNNNNNNNNNNNNNNNNNNNNNNNNNNNNNNNNNNNNNNNNNNNNNNNNNNNNNNNNNNNNNNNNNNNNNNNNNNNNNNNNNNNNNNNNNNNNNNNNNNNNNNNNNNNNNNNNNNNNNNNNNNNNNNNNNNNNNNNNNNNNNNNNNNNNNNNNNNNNNNNNNNNNNNNNNNNNNNNNNNNNNNNNNNNNNNNNNNNNNNNNNNNNNNNNNNNNNNNNNNNNNNNNNNNNNNNNNNNNNNNNNNNNNNNNNNNNNNNNNNNNNNNNNNNNNNNNNNNNNNNNNNNNNNNNNNNNNNNNNNNNNNNNNNNNNNNNNNNNNNNNAGCAACUUCAAUCUAUUAUAGAAAUAUAACAAAUUGAAUCAACAUUAGGAAGAUGGUCAUAGUUCUAGCUCAUUUGAGCAUUUUAUCAAACACUAGGUGUGCAUAAGGUUUCAAGGUCCUAUUAUGAAGAAUUCCAUCAUCCCACAGCCCAAUCUUUACCAUGCUUAGUUCAACAACCUUCCUACACCCCUUGAUAUCACAUGCAUAUAAAAUAAACAACUCUUAUGCCCAACAAUUUUCUUGCUAAUUACCCAUUUUCAGAUAAUUUUGAAAUUAGGGGUUAGGGUGUAGAAUCUUACCUCUAGGAUGAAGACCUAUUGACUUUCCUUUCUUAAUCUUCCAAAACUUGGGCAAGAAUUGAAGAACACCUUCUCACUCUAGGGCACUCUCUCUCACUUUACUUUUCGAUGCAUUGUUCAACCCAAAAAGUUCGAGACGCGGUGGCACCACGAAACAUUAUUUUCUUUUGCAAAAUUUUACGAGGCCUUACAGCUUAUUACCUCGUAUUUAGGUGAAAAUAAAAAUUGGGGUCAUCUCCAACUUAUCUCUUCUCCCCUCCCCCUCCCCCCCCUCCCCCCAUUCUAUUUCUCCAUAUCUGCCCCUCCUUCAUCCCCCGCCUCUCUAUCUUUUCCUUUUCUUCUUCUUCUUUCUUUCUUCCCCCUUUUUUCCCCAUUUUUUCUGGAGGCGAUUUCGCACUACCCUAGUCCCUAGCGGCAGUGGAAACUUUGGCGGCAUCUGUUACUUUCUGCUUCCUCCCGUCUCCUCUUUCCCCUUUCUUUAUUACUGCUGGCCGAAUUCCUAGACCUAGCAGUGGCAACAUGGAUUUUUUUCAUGGAGAUGAUUCUAUGGCGAACCUCGAGCGUAGCGCGUGGGAAUUUCUAGAACAUAGCUAUUGUGGACAACAUCUUUCUCGGCACCCGUUUGGACUCCAGGUUCUACUGUUCUUGCUUAGAAUUUGCUAUUUUGUGGGUUAAUAUUUUGUCGGCUGCCUUUUAUCCUUGAUUAUUGUAUUUCCUUCAGCUUGCUUGCCUUUAUAUGCCAUUAGUUGUAUCACUAGUGUCUCUUGCGUGCUUAAGUUACAUUACAUUUCAGCUUAUAUUUAAGCUUUGUCUGCUUUAGGCUUUGCCUGCUUGUCUACAUUUGUAGUAGUUAAGGUUUAGUUUAUAUACCUUGGUAUUUGCUGGUGCAGUGGCUAUUUUGAGCGAUGGUAGUGUAAGGUCGUGUCCGCCAGUGGGUCAGCGGGUGGGUGAGCGGGUGGGGAGCAAGGGUGGCAAGGGGGGUAAAGCAUGCACAAGGUUGAGAAUUUGGAUCCUGGAAUAUAGGGACAUUGACGGGUAAGUCGAUAGAGUUGAGGAAGAUUAAUAUAGCAUGUGUCCAGCAGACUAGAUAGGGGGUACAAAGGCUCGGGAUGUUAAUGGGUAUAAGCUAUGGUAUUCGAAGGGUGUUAGGGGCAAGAACGGGGUAGGUAUUUUUGUUGAUAGGGAUCUCAAGGAGUUAGUGGUGUAUGUUAGGUUGUUGACUAUUAAGCUAGUAGUUAAUCGGUUCACCUUUAACGUGAUUAGUGCUUACGCGCCUCAAGCGGUACUGAGCGAGGAGGUCAAAAGGCGCUUCUCGGAAGAUUUGGAUGAGGUUGUACGUGGUAUUCCGCAGUCCGAGAAGAUUUUCAUCGGGGUGAUUUUAAUGGUCAUGUUGGGGAGACGGCUAGGGGCUAUGAUGAGAUGCAUGGCGGGUUCGGUUUCUGGGGUUAGGAACGAGGGCGAUACUUCGUUGUUGGAUUUUGCUAAAGCUUUUGACUUGAUUCUACCUAACACGGGUUUUUAGAAGAGGGAGGACCACUUGGUCACUUUCCGGAGUAGGGUUGCCAAGACUCAGAUUGAAUAUCUUCUCCUCAGGAAAGGUGAUAGGGGCCUUUGUACUGACUGCAAGGUUAUCCCGAGUAUCUGUCGACGCAGCAUAGGCUCUUAGUCAUGGACUUGGAGGUCAAGGGAGCAAGGAAGAAGAUCUAGUGGGGAGACUUGACUAAGGGAAAGGCUCAAGAGUUAGGGGAGAAGCUGCUAGCUAUGGGGGCCUGGAGUAGUAGUGGGGACGCGAGUAGUAUGUGGACCACGACAGCGAACUGCAUUAAGGAAGCUGCUAGGGAGGUAUUAGGGGUCUCGAAGAAUUACUCGGGUGACCACAAAGGGGACUGGUUGUGGAAUGAAGAGGUCCAAGUAAAAGUGGAAGCUAAGAAAGCAGCAUAUUUGAAGCUAGUGGGGAGCACGGAUGAGGAAGAGUAGAGGACGUGUAUGGAGUGUUAUAAGAAGGCAAGAAGAGAGGUGAAGAUCACGGUCACAGCGGCUAAGACUGCAGCCUGUGACCGAUUGUACGAGGUUCUUGGGGGUAAAGUAGGGGAUAGGAAGUUGUAUAAGUUAGCCAAGAUUAGGGAGAGGAAGGCUCGGGACCUGGAUCGAGUGAGGUACAUCAAAGACGAAGAUGGUAAGGUAUUGGUGGAAGAGGCAUGUAUCGGGCAUAGAUGGCAGGAGUACUUCCAUAAACUCUUGAACGAGGAAGGAGAAAGGCACAUCGUGGUAGGUGAGUUGGAUAAAUCAGAGAGUCAGAGAGAUUUUGGGUUUUGUAGGCGUAUUAAGUGUGAGGAGGUUGAUGUGGCAAUAUGGAAGAUGAGCAAGGGUAAGGCGACUGGGCCUGACGAGAUCCCCGUGAAAUUUUGGAAAAAAACUGGCAGGGUAGGCUUGGAGUGGCUAUCUAACUUGUUUAACGUCAUUUUCAGGACGAAGAAGAUACCCGAAGAUUGGCAGUGGAGUUUGAUGAUUCAGUUGUACAAAAACAAAGGUGAUAUCCAUAAGUGCAACAACUAUAGGGGUAUCAAGCUUUUGAGUCACACUAUGAAAGUUUGGGAGAGGGUGGUGGAGAGGAGAGUGAGGACAUGUGUAUCUAUCUUUAAGAACCUGUUUGGAUUUAUGCCGGGACAGUCAACUACAAAAGGCAUUCACCCGGUGAGACGAUUGGUGGAGCAGUAUAAGGAGAGGAAAAGGGAUUUGCACAUGGUGUUUAUUGACCUUGAGAAGGCUUAUGAAAAAGUCCCAAAGGGAGGUGAUAUGGAGAUGUUUGGAGGUUAGCGGAGUCCCGGUAGCGUACAUUAGGGUGAUUAAGGACAUGUACGAAGGUUUUAAGACUCAUGUGAGGACUGCGGGAGGAGACUCAGAACAUUUUCCUAUGGAGAUGGGGUUGCAUCAGGGAUCGACCCUUAGUCCGUUUUUGUUUGCCCUAGCGUUGGAUGUGCUAACACGAGGGUGUCAUGGUAUAUGUUAUUUGCUAAUUACAUAGUACUGAUUGACGAGACGCGAGGGGGUGUUAACGCUCGGUUGGAAGUUUGGAGACAGACGCUGGAGUCCAAAGGUUUCAAGUUGAGUAGGUCGAAAACUGAAUACUUGGAGUGCAAGUUCAGUGAUGAGUGGCAGGAAGAAGAAGUGGAAGUGAAGAUUGAUACUCAAGUCAUGCCCAAAAGAGAUAGUUUCAUGUAUCUUGGGUUUAUAAUCCAAGGCAACAAGGAGAUUGAUGAGGAUGUUACUCACCGCAUUGGAGCGAGGUGGAUGAGAUGGAGGCUAGCUUCGGGGGUUUUAUGCGAUAAGAAUAUGCCGCCUAGACUUAAGGGCAAAUUCUACAGGGUGGUGGUUAGACCGGCUAUGUUAUAUGGAGUUGAGUGUUGGCCCGUCAAGAAGGCCCAUGUCCAGAAGAUGAAAGUAGUUGAAAUGAGGAUGCUGAGAUGUAUGUGUGGGCAUACCAGGAAAGACAAUAUUAGGAAUGAAGUUAUUAUAGACAUGGUAGGAGUGGCAUCUGUAGAAGACAAGUUGCGGGAAUCGAGGUUGCGAUGGUUUGGGCAUGUGAAGAGGAGAGACAUAGAUGCCCCGGUCAGGAAGUGUGACAGGUUGACCAUGGGGGGCUUGAGGAAGGGCAGGGGUAGGCCAAAGAAGUAUUGGGGAGAGGUGAUUAGACAGUACAUGUCAUUGCUUCACCUAACCGAGGACAUGACUAGCAAUAGGAAGGUGUGGAGAUCGAGAAUUAAGGUUGUAGGUUGACAGGUAGUUGUGAGUUUCUCCUAAAUUUACCAGUAGUACUAGUACUACUCUUGUAUUCUUAGUUCUUUAUUACUUAUUGCUUGUUAAUUUAUUUUUACUGUUCCUUAAACCGAGUGUCUAUCGGAAACAACCUCUCUGUCUUUACAGGGUAGGAGUAAGGCUGCGUACAUACUACUCUCCUCAAACCUCACAUAUGAGAUUAAGCUGGAUUUGUUGUUGUUUGUUGUUAUCUCCGACUUAUGUGUUCUUUUUUGUUUGUACGUAUUUUUCCUCGGUAAAUAAAGCCUCUAAUUACCAUUAAAAAAUUGGUGGUCUGUGAAGAAUUAGUAUUGUUUGCUCGAGGACAAAAUGAUCAUUAAGAUUUCCAAGAAUAUUUUGUAAAAAUACUUGUGAUUUAAGGUGUCUUUUUAUUUAGUAAUUAUAAUGAUGAUACUCCUUGUUUCAAUUUAGAUAAGGUAGUUUGAUUGUACGGAGUUUAAAAAAAAGAAAAUUUUAAAACUUGUGGUCUUAAAAAAUUAAGGGGUAAAAGUUUUGUGAUAUUUGUAUGGUUAUAAAAGCUUAUCAUUAAGGGUAAAAUAAAAAGUUUAAAAUUAAAUUAUUUUUAAUUAUAAAAAUAUGUCAUCCUUUUUUGAACGGAAUAAUAAAGAAAGUGUGUAAUUUAAAUUGAAACUGGCGGAGUACUUGUUCUCAUGGAAAAAAAAUGACAAUUUUACUUCAAAAGGCCAUUUUGAGGAAGUACAGAUUAAAAAAGAAAUGGUAUCCAUCCAUCUUGAAAUCAUAAACUCCACAAAAUUCAGAAUUGAGGAGAGUUUUAUAUCUGCCUCAAAAACCUCACAAUUCUUCUUUCACUGUCCACAUUUUUUUGCCCAGCAGAACUAUCCAAAAUUCAAACUUGCAAGAAUUGAAAUUUCAUGAGCCUCUUCUAGGCCAAAACAGUGGAGAAAACCGACUCAACAAACCACAAGUUAUGAACCAAGUUGAUAAUACUAACCGAACGACAUAGAAAAGAAAAUCCUUCCAAUCCGAACCAUAUAAACUCCAAGAAUGUCCACGAACGAAUGCUCAAUUUGAUCCCCUGCAUCCUUCCGAGUCUUGAUCGGCGAAGUUUCUUCAAGAAUGGGUCUCAUCAAUGCUACAUAAUUUUCAAGAACUAAAUUUUCAUGGAAGUCUUGAACUCACUACUGUGAGAAAGUAAUGCAAGACACAAAUGUAUCCGGGUCGUGGCUAAGAAAAAGAAGAAAAAAAAUCGAGAAGCAGAAUUCUCCACAAAGAAAAGAUUUACGACAUCGAGUCAUUAGGGUUUCUUUUUUCUUUUUUCAUGGCACCUAAGAGUUCUUCUGUUGGAGUAGUAUUUUUUCUUUGCCUAUUCUCGUGGAAGUAUGCACAAUAGACAAGGGGGCGUGGCCUUUUCAAGGGGAAAAAAAAACAAGGAAUGGAUCACGGACCGGAUCUGGAGGUUUCGGCCGUAACAAAUGUCAAUGUCCGGUUUAGGAGACGAAACUGACGUUCACCUGCCAGCCUAAUUGACCCCGGAAUCGUAUCCGGCUUUCCAGCCACGGGCUACUGAAAUAUCCGGUUCUCCUAUUCACCAAACCGGUCCAGUCCUUAUUUUGACCCUUAAAUUAUAGAAGCAAAUGGUCGGGUCAACCCGAACUUCAAAAUUCCCGACUUACAAUCCCAACCGGUCAUCCUUCGACUUUCUCUCUUUGUAUAAAGUAAAAGGGCAAAAAAAAACCAAUCCGCAAUCCCAAACUCGGUUUCUCCCAUCUUUCUCUUCUCAAAAAAGCGGAAAAACAAUUUACAAGUAAGUUUUCUAUUUUACGCCUUGAGAUUAUUCAUUUUAUCCUUAUAAGU